rnacentral:rRNA from 1 species
UACAGAGGUCCCAAGCGUUGUUCGGAUUCACUGGGCGUAAAGGGUGCGUAGGUGGUGAGGUAAGUCGGAUGUGAAAUCUCGGAGCUCAACUCCGAAAUGGCAUUGGAAACUACCUCGCUAGAGGAUCGGAGGGGAGACUGGAAUUCUCGGUGUAGCAGUGAAAUGCGUAGAUAUCGAGAGGAACACCAGUGGCGAAGGCGAGUCUCUGGACGAUUCCUGACGCUGAGGCGCGAAAGCCAGGGGAGCAAACGGG